rnacentral:lncRNA from 1 species
CAUUUCAGCCAAGCAGCUCAUUCCUGCUUGCAGUUUGUACCAUCCAUGUUGCUGUUACUGCCUUUGUGGGAUUAGAGGGCGGCUGAAGGAGUGCCAGCAUGUACCAGCGGGUCCCAGUACAGUAGCAGUCACACCUGCCCUUUCUGCCUCCAGGAGAAGCAGGCUUUCCCUGGCUUUCUGCCUUCCUCCUAUCCUAACUCCUGCUCCUCCAAACCUGUACCAACUCCUCCUUGACAAUAAAGGUGAUGACGGAGAGAGCAGAAGGGAGCAGAGAGUCUCUGUAUUCCAUCCAGGAGGAGAAAGAUGAAGUGAUCCACAGGAUAAAAUCCAACUCUGGGAGCAGAAAAAAGUGUCCUGCCCUCUCGCAACUUCCUCACAGUGUUCUCUCUUGGUCCUCACAAAGCUCCUAUUACAUCACCAAUGGUCCCCACCCUUUCUUUCUCACACACCUCUUUCCUCUUUCCAUGCCACCACUGCUGCCCUUGCCUUCCUCCUCUGCUCCAUGGACAUUCCUGGCCAGCAAACUGAAGGAAAAGUUCUGCUCUCUGAGCUACAUAAAAGAUCCUUGUUCUGAUAUUCCACAUUCACUGGAGCUCUGCAUGUGGUGGGAAGAAUGGAGGACCAGAACAGAGGCUGGAAGAAAGGUUCACUCAAAAUAAAAGGAUAAGAAGCUGGGAAGUAUGGCAACACAGAAGAAUGGAAGCAGAAUCUGUUGUUAAGAGAGAACAGAAGAAAUACCGGGAGAAAUGUUGGUGAUUCCAAUGGUGCAUCCAUCCAUUUGUUUUACCUCAGUCUCUCCUUCCCUCCUUCCCUCUAUCAUUUUUGCUCUCACUUUCUCUCUCAUGUAAGCUGUGAAGAUGUCUGGCCAUAUAAAUAUAUCUGAGAAUACAAAAUAAAGUCUCAUUAUGACACA